UCCAGAUAAACUCCGAAUGCGUGCUAUAUAUUGAUAAGGAGUGAGGGCGCGGGUGCUAAGGUCCGCGUCCGAGAGGAGAAGAAUCCAGACCAUCAGCUAAGGUCCCCAAAUAACAGUUAAGUUGAACUAACGAAGUCGGACUGCAGAGACAGCUAGGAUGUUGGCUUGGAAGCAGCCAUUCAUUUAAAGAGUGCGUAACAGCUCACUAGUCGAGGAGUCCGGCGUGGAUAAUACUCGGGCAUAAACUGUUUACCGAAGCUAUGGAUGUGUAAACACAUGGUAGGGGAGCAUUCCAACGGCGUCGAAGGUGAAGGAUGACCUUUGCUGGAGCUUUUGGAAACGCAAAUGUAGGUAUAAGUAACGAUAAAGGAGGUGAGAAACCUCCUCGCCGAAAGACUAAGGUUUCCUGAUCAACGUUAAUCGGAUCAGGGUAAGUCGGGACCUAAGGUUAAGCCGAACGGCGAUACCGAUGGAAGAAUGGUUUAAUAUUCCCAUACUACUUUAUGGAGCGAUGUGGAGACGGAGAAGUGACAGUCCUGCCAUCUGACGGAAUAGGUGGUUGAAGAGUGUAGAUGUAGAUUCCUGUAGGCAAAUCCGCAGGGAGAGUCGACCUUGACAGUAUGCCGCGUGCUUGCACAAGGCAAAAUGGACGUAAUCAGGCUCCCAAGAAAAUCCGCUAAGCAUAUUCAUAAAGUACCCGUACCGUAAACGGACACACGUAGUUGGGUUGAAAAUACUGAGGCGCUCGAGUGAUUCACGGUUAAGGAACUAGGCAAAUUGACCCUGUAACUUCGGGAUAAAGGGUCCCUACUGAGAGGUAGGGCGCAGAGAAUAGGUCCAGGCAACUGUUUAACAAAAACACAUGGCUGUGCGAAAUAGAAAUAUGAAGUAUACAGCCUGACACCUGCCCGGUGCUGGAAGGUUAAGAGGAGAGCUCAUCGCAAGAGAAGGCUUGAAUUGAAGCCCCAGUAAACGGCGGCCGUAUCUAUAACGGUCCUAAGGUAGCGA
rnacentral:rRNA from 1 species